GCCGGGCAUGGUGGCUCAUGCCUGUAAUCCAAGCACUUUGGGAGGCCAAGAUGGGUGGAUUGCCUGAGGUCAGGAGUUCGAGACCAGCCUGGCCAACAUGGUAAAACCCCAUCUCUA
ensembl:misc_RNA Metazoa_SRP Metazoan signal recognition particle RNA